rnacentral:rRNA from 1 species
UACGGAGGGUGCGAGCGUUGUUCGGAAUUAUUGGGCGUAAAGCGCGUGUAGGCGGUUCUUUAAGUCUGAUGUGAAAGCCCCGGGCCCAACCUGGGAAGUGCAUUGGAUACUGGAGAACUUGAGUACGGGAGAGGGUAGUGGAAUUCCUAGUGUAGGAGUGAAAUCCGUAGAUAUUAGGAGGAACACCGGUGGCGAAGGCGGCUGCCUGGACCGAUACUGACGCUGAGACGCGAAAGCGUGGGGAGCAAACAGG